rnacentral:lncRNA from 1 species
AAAUUUUCCAAGCACUUGUCCAGUACUACUCAUACCAUGUGAAUAUAACGAAAGCUUCAAUGGUCAUGUUUUCAUUCCCAUUUAUCAAUAAUUCGAUAUGGCUACUUGGUGGAAUUAGGUUCUAAGUUUUCAUCAGUUAAUUGGCUCAUAAGGUUUUUCUUUUCUUUUUUUUUUUUCGCCAAAUUGGCUCAUAAGGUUUGUUUGCUGUACUCUGUAC